rnacentral:misc_RNA from 1 species
GAACUCCCAUAAAUGCAACUCUCUUGAUCAGAGUUGCAAGUGCAUGUAUAGCAUUCUUUUCAAGUUUGGAUAUCUUGGCAAGUUUGUUAUCUAUAAGCGGCCUUCUAAUAUCCAUGAUGAUGGCUGUUGCUCUGCUUGUGAGGAGAUACUAUGUCAGAGGUAUCACCCCCCAGACGAAUCUUUUGAAGCUUACCUUCUUUCUACUGGUCAUAAUUGUAUCCUCCGUUGGGACUUCUGCUUAUUGGGGACUGGACCCUAAUGGUUGGCUUGGUUACACAGUAACUGUUCCCCUUUGGUUCCUGGCCACUUUGGCAAUUUCGGUUCUUUUGCCACAGGAUAGAACACCAAAAGUUUGGGGAGUCCCACUGGUUCCUUGGUUCCCAUCCCUCUCAGUUGCAAUAAAUGUGUUUCUCAUGGGAUCAUUA